rnacentral:rRNA from 1 species
AAUGAACGCUGGCGGCAUGCCUAACACAUGCAAGUCGAACGAAGCCUUCGGGCUUAGUGGCGCACGGGUGCGUAACGCGUGGGAAUCUGCCCUUGGGUUCGGAAUAACAGUUAGAAAUGACUGCUAAUACCGGAUGAUGACGUAAGUCCAAAGAUUUAUCGCCCAAGGAUGAGCCCGCGUAGGAUUAGCUAGUUGGUGAGGUAAAAGCUCACCAAGGCGACGAUCCUUAGCUGGUCUGAGAGGAUGAUCAGCCACACUGGGACUGAGACACGGCCCAGACUCCUACGGGAGGCAGCAGUGGGGAAUAUUGGACAAUGGGCGAAAGCCUGAUCCAGCAAUGCCGCGUGAGUGAUGAAGGCCUUAGGGUUGUAAAGCUCUUUUACCCGGGAUGAUAAUGACAGUACCGGGAGAAUAAGCUCCGGCUAACUCCGUGCCAGCCGCCGCCGUAACAC